GUCCACGCCGUAAACGAUGUCUACUUGGAGGUUGUGGCCUUGAGCCGUGGCUUUCGGAGCUAACGCGUUAAGUAGACCGCCUGGGGAGUACGGUCGCAAGAUUAAAACUCAAAUGAAUUGACGGGGGGCCCGCACAAGCGGUGGAGCAUGUGGUUUAAUUCGAUGCAACGCGAAGAACCUUACCUACUCUUGACAUCCAGAGAACUUUCCAGAGAUGGAUUGGUGCCUUCGGGAACUCUGAGACAGGUGC
rnacentral:rRNA from 1 species